UUUAACCAAAACAGUUUUGAAUCGGAUGAAUUACCAAAUUUGGUUGGGUCUUGUUUGGCUUUCUGCUUUGCCUUUUAAUCAGCCAUUUACCAGCAACUGUUGCACGGGCCCAUUAGCACUCGAAGAAUAAAAACAAACACACAGGACCAGAUAAGGUUCCCCUACUAACCCAAAUGAUCCGUUUCCUUAACAAUUUUAAAACCACAGCUAGGGGUGUGAAAACAGGCUUGUUUUUGUGUGUGUUUGUGUGCCACAAUCUGUCCAAAUCCUUAAUUCCCUUUUAAGGAACAGAUAUAUAAUAAAAAUCCGAAAGGAACCACAUUAGAAAUGCAAAGAGGUUUGCAAAACAAGAGGCUUCUUUCAUUCCAGAAAACCACACCAAAACAAGGGGAGAAAAAUGAAAGCAAUGGAUAUGCGUUUGCCAAAGUUUCAAUCUUGCCUGGUGGAGACACUGCACCGGCACAAAGUCUAAGGAGGAAAAAGAGGGGGCUGGCGGCGGAAGUGGGGAGAGAGCAAGCGAGUGUGGCCUGCAAACUGCAACAAUUUUGAACAACGCGCCUCUUUCCUCUUAUAAAUCUAGUUUUUUUGCCACUUGAUGUGCCCUCGCAUUACCCCUCUGGGGGUCGGCGGAGUUGGGGGGAGAUCGGAGCAGGAUGCACAGCACAGGAGUGAGCAAGCGGGGAGGGUAGAGGAGGCACAACAUCAACGUGGUACUAGAAGAGGAGGGAUUCACAAGAAUUGAAAAUUGAUGGGGAAGAGAAGGGAAAGGUUGAAAGAAUUAUACAGUUACCAGCCUGACCAACAUCGUGAAACCCCAUCUCUACUAAAAAUAGAAAAAUUAGCCAGGGCUGGUAGCACAGGCCUGU